GUCACUUCCUACAGCUCUGCUGACACACUUGCAAGACCCUCGUGAAUCAUUGCAACUCUGGGAUCCCAGAGUACAACACGCCAGAUCGUCUCCGAGUCGGUUCCAGUGGUCUUUCGAUUCCCAGUGCCACCGCCACUCCCGCAGUUGUUGACUCGAGUGAGAUUUCACAGAAAGAGCUCCUUGUCCUUGCCGCCACCCGGCGCUCCAGAGACUUUGCUGGCCAGCUUCACUGAGAUUCAGCUGUCCAGCACACUAGAGACUUUGCCACCCAGCACCGGACUUCCACCCGGCCUCCACACAGGUAUCACCCACGCCACCGAUGUCCAGGUCGCACAACUGAGGUCUCUAGCUGAGCUUCGGUCCUGCCUCCAGGCAGCCUAAGGUCUGCAGCUGCACUUCAGUCCUGCCUCCUGAUCGUCCGACUGAGGGCUCCUGCAGCACUUCUGUCCUGCUCUCUCGCCAACCAACUGAGAGCACCAGCUCUUUUUCUCUGCUCCCCAAGUACUUGCCCCUGUCUUUGGGUGUGGGUAGUGUUAUUUGCUGAUUUAUUUUGUUAAACCCUUCCUCCUGGGUUUGUGUAUGUCACUUCCUGUCUGUGUUGUCUUGCUCUCUGUGUAGGUUUGGCAUUGUGUCAAAAUAUGGGCAGGCAUCAAUGAUAGACAGUCAUGCUGCUUUACCUAUUUCUGCUUAAUUUACUCCAGUAAAAUGUGAGCACAUUAAAAUACCACAUGGUUCAUCCUAGGUGGGAAACUGCUAUUAAAUGCCACCAUGUAAACGUUAAUGGCAUUCUUGUAAUGUAAAAUGUGUGAUGUGUACAUUUAAUGUAAUCUUGUUAUGCUCUCUUUAGAAUUUUCACCUUGCACUAGUUCAUAGACUGAUUUCUUGAUUUGUAUAUUUUUAAGCUGAUUUUUUUAAAAAUUGCAUUUGAGUGGACAUACAUGUGGUCCUUAGUCCUGAGUAUUAUUAAUGUGCUGCAGUGAGAUGGUUAAUGAUGGUGACUUAUGAGCAAUGCUAUUAUGGCAAUGUUUGUUGUUUUACGUACUCUUUCACAACUGCACACAAAGUGGCCAUUGUUUGGUCACUGUGUAUUAAAAUGAUACAUGCA